AUUUACUCGAACAGAUUUUAUUGCAGCUGUAUAUUAACAAAUGAAAGUGCUAUGGACAAUUAUAAUAAAGAUAACGUCAGACCAGAUAGAGUUAGCAGAAUCAUUUGGCCCAAAUCAAAUCUCGAACACAAAGAAGUCCCCAAAAUUUUUCCUUUUAUAUAAAUAACAUGACAGGAAUGUAAUAGAAAUUAAGCUUGAUUAAAUGAUUACUUCGUGUUUUUGACUUUAUUUACUGGUUGGAAACAGUAAUUUUCUCUUUCGACCAACGACAAUAUAUCAACAACUAUUUAAAUAUCAGAUAAUACAGCUUCUCUUCCUCAGUUGCCGGAUGCGAGGAACUUCACGUCAGUGAAUUUGGUAGUUCGCGUAUCCUGUAUGGAACAAUAUAAACUGUCCGACAGUGACACUAUUGUUAUGAAUUUCUGUGAAAGUAUCUCUGGACAUUUAGUGUAAAUUGUUACAAUUCGACAGUCGAAACAUGACGGAUCGAAUGUUGCUGGAUUUCUCUUAAUAUUACAAACU